rnacentral:rRNA from 1 species
ACUCCUACGGGAGGCAGCAGUGGGGAAUAUUGCACAAUGGGCGCAAGCCUGAUGCAGCCAUGCCGCGUGUAUGAAGAAGGCCUUCGGGUUGUAAGUACUUUCAGCAGUGAGGAAGGUAGUGUAGUUAAUAGCUGCAUUAUUUGUACGUUAGCUGCAGAAGAAGCACCGGCUAACUCCGUGCCAGCAGCCGCGGUAAUACGGAGGGUGCGAGCGUUAAAUCGGAAUUACUGGGCGUAAAGCGCAUGCAGGUGGUUUGUUAAGUCAGAUGUGAAAGCCCGGGGCUCAACCUCGGAAUUGCAUUUGAAAACUGGCAGACUAGAGUACUGUAGAGGGGGGUAGAAUUUCAGGUGUAGCGGUGAAAUGCGUAGAGAUCUGAAGGAAUACCGGUGGCGAAGGCGGCCCCCUGGACAGAUACUGACACUCAGAUGCGAAAGCGU